rnacentral:lncRNA from 1 species
UGGGAAGAGAGUAAUUUAUAUACAAGUCAAAAAAUAAAUUUGUGAAUCCUUCUCUGUGCAUUCAUUAUUAAUGAGACUGUUCUGACCCCAUAUGCUGCUAUGUGCCCUCAAUUGCCCCCUGGGGACAAAUAAAGUUUUUUUUUUUUUUUUUUUUUUUUUUAAUUUUAAUUUUGAAUAUCGACAUAUACAGACCUACUUCAUGGCCAGUCCACCAGCCAUUGCUAUUAGACCCAUUGUUGUUAUAUUGAGACAAAUCAUGAUCACUGUCCUAUAGCGUCCAUUUUUUGAGUCUCUUGUCUACUUCAAAUGCAAUUAGAAAUAUGGGACAGUUGCUUAAUUUUGUUCAUGUGCUACAGGCCGAAAGACUAAAUUAUAAUGUAACUUACUUGCUCCUUUUAAGUAUAACAUUGCUUAGGGAGUCCAAUGCCACUACUGAAAUGGGUGGAAAGUGCUUACAACUCUCUGCUAGUCAGCGAUCUAUCUCUUCUCUACUUGUAGUUGUGUUGCGCGAAUGCUGCUGAGGGAGGUAGUCUAUUUGAUUUAUUCUCUGAAUUGUCCCAUCAUGUGGUAAUAACAAAAAAAGAAGGCGAUACCAUUGGCCUGGGUCGCACACUGUUGCGACCCGAGGGCGAAUUUUCUUGCGCCAAUGAAAAGCUGUCUCUGCUUGAUAGACAGCAAAAAGUUAGUGUGCUUACACUAGCCGCGUUUACAUGGCACAUCUGAUCCGCAUAGAUUUCUAUGCGGCAUAGAUCUGUUCCUAAAAAUGUGUUCCGAAUGUACUGUAUACAUGGCAGUAACAAAAGUGUCCGUUAUGUCUCUCGCGCACACCUGACACAUCUCUGGACCGGCGGCGACAUAAUGGAUGUCUUAUCACUCGGGGAUUUUAAAUUUGAUUUUAAUGAAAACACAGCAGGAGAGAGCUUUUCUCUGCCUGCUCCUUCAAUUAAGACACGUCAUUAAUAAACACCCAUGUCCCGUCGCUAAGCAACCGGACACGCUUACCGGACUACUUUUACGGAGUGAUAAUAACAAAGACGUGAAUCAGGCAAUAAAUCCACUUUCAUUGACCGCGGUGAAGUUCGGUGUGCUUAAAAGUACCGACGGAGCUCAGGGGACCAAUGGCGAACUACUGCGGCUGCUCUAAAUUAAACCCCAAUCUAUUCGGAAUAAGUGUAUACAUGGCGAUUCAAACGGACUACACCACCACUUCUAUUCGGCAUAGAAUCUAUGCCGAACAGAUAAUUGUAUUCCGAAUGAGGCGUAUACAUGAUCAUUUUCUGUUCCGCAUAGAAAUCUAUGCGGAACAGAUGUGUCCAUGUAAACGCGGCUACUGACUCCAACGUGGCCAAGUGAAUAUUUCACGGA